CCCUUAGAUGUUCUGGGCAGCACGCGCGCUACAAUGGUCUUCGCAAACGGAUGCAUUCUCGAAGGAGAAUGCCAAUCUAGGAAUCUAUGCCUUGGUCGGGACAGUUGCUUGCAAUUUUUCGACUCGAACCAGGAAUUCCUUGUAAUCGUGAUUCAUCACAUCACGAUGAAUACGUCCCUGCCCUUUGUACACACCGCCCGUCGCUCCUACCGAUCGAAGAGUUAGGUGAAUUGUUUUGAUCGAUAAGAUUUGACUAUGGUCAACUCUCGUUGUGAAAUUCUGUGAAUCUGACUGUUUAGAGGAAGGAAAAGUCGUAACA
rnacentral:rRNA from 1 species